rnacentral:rRNA from 1 species
ACGCUCGACACCUACUGGAGGCAGCAGUCGGGAAUAUUGCGCAAUGGAGGAAACUCUGACGCAGUGACGCCGCGUAUAGGAAGAAGGUUUUCGGAUUGUAAACUAUUGUCGUUAGGGAAGAAAAAGGACAGUACCUAAGGAGGAAGCUCCGGCUAACUACGUGCCAACAGCCGCGGUAAUCUGAGCGGGCUGGCAAGGC